rnacentral:rRNA from 1 species
UACGGGGGGGGCAAGCGUUGUUCGGAAUUACUGGGCGUAAAGGGCUCGUAGGCGGCCAACUAAGUCAGACGUGAAAUCCCUCGGCUUAACCGGGGAACUGCAUCUGAUACUGAUGGCUUGAGAUUGGGAGAGGGAUGCGGAAUUCCAGGUGUAGCGGUGAAAUGCGUAGAUAUCUGGAGGAACACCGGUGGCGAAGGCGGCAUCCUGGACCAACACUGACGCUGAGGAGCGAAAGCCAGGGGAGCAAACGGG